UUUCUGGAUGAAAACAGCUUUGGUUAAGAUCUGAAAUAUUUUUUAAUUCUACACAUACUCAGAAAUAAUAUGAGGUAAUAAGAAUUUUAAAAACGUAGAGUGCAUAAACUGUAAAGUGAAAAUUCCCAGUGGCGAUGGCUAACAAUUUUUUGUUCAGGUUUCCUGAAUUGUUUUUCUGUUCAUGUACACACACACACACGCCUCAACGUUUUCAACUUGCCUUUGAUACUUACUAGAUAUUGCUAUACUUCCUUAUUAUUACCUAUAAAUCUGCCUCAUUCUUUACUAUUAAGAGACAGUUAAGCUGUUGUUAUUUUGAUUUUUUCUUAUUACAAGCACUGUAACAGUGAAUAGGCUUUGAGCACUGGGAGAGCACUUCAGGGAAUCUAUCCACUGAAGAAUAAAUCUCUUUCAGUGAAAUUGCUGCAUUUAACAGGUAGCUCCUGGGAGCAGAAAAAUUCAAACAGGCUGUCGUGUAGGCUGGAUUCCCACCUACUGCCUGGAGAGACUGGAACAUGGACAUGGAACAGCAGUUCUGCAUGGAAUUUAUUUUUCUUCUCUGACGUUGAAAUUUGCAUUUCUUUUAGUAAAAUAAGCUGGUUCAAAAACAUGUACGCACCCUUGUUUUGUCCAUGUCACUUAACAAUUCCAAAGGAUUUGGGAUUUUUACAGUUUUUUUUUUUUUCAAGAAUUCAGUGAAACAGAGCUAGUGUUAGCAGCUCCAUAUUUUAGUCAGGAAACUGAGGCACAUUUGAGGCCUGGCAUCUUAUUUAAGCACAGUCUCUCUCCACUGUGUGAAUCACAGUUUAAUACUGUCCAAAUCAGGAUUCUUCGUUGCAUGCAACAGAAACUGACUCAUGCUGACUAAGUAGAAGGAGAAUUUCUGGACAACUCUGGGAAUCACUAGGAAGGCAGGCAAGCCAGGUCUGGAGAACAGUGGAAGCAGAGGCACUGCAGCACGGACGCUCAGCUGCCACUGCUGCCGCUGUCAGACUGGAUUCUCGUCUGCCCCCGUCCCUGCAUGGCUCACUAGCCAGACGGAGGGCACAGGCCGGGCCUGGGUGCAGAAGAGUCCGGGAAUGUAGCGUUGGCUCCCCUUUGGCAUCUCCAGCAGGUUGUGGACUCUGCUCUCCUAUGGGGGAAAUUUCCAAAUAUGGGAAACUGAUUUGGUCACUGGUAUAUGCUCAAACCUUUUGGCCAUUUCUUUCUUGGGUUGAUAACUUGUUCACAAAUAUUUCUUUCUAAAAAAUCCUUCUGCAACAUCUAUCUUUAGGAAUUUCUGGGAAAAAAAGCAUAAGGAGUGGAGAGCCAGCUUAUUCCUAAGCCAUAAAUUUAACAUUAAGUAUAUACAUUUCCCAGACUAAAAUAUUUAUGGUCAGCUGUAUGUCACACAGGGUUAUUUGGAAAAUUUUGGUGUGUAGAAUUAAUAAGGAGCCCUAGGAUGCCUUGAUCUCUCAUUUUCUAGCUGUCAGGCAUGAUGAUCCCAGAGGUGAAGGAAAAAUAAUUAAACAGUGGAGGAAAAAA